GCUCAGGACGAACGCUGGCGGCGCGCCUAACACAUGCAAGUCGAACGGAGCUUAGAGAGCUUGCUUUUUAAGCUUAGUGGCGAACGGGUGAGUAACGCGUGAGUAACCUGCCCUAGAGUGGGGGACAACAGUUGGAAACGACUGCUAAUACCGCAUAAGCCCACGGUGCCGCAUGACACUGAGGGAGAAGGAUUUAUUCGCUUUAGGAUGGACUCGCGUCCAAUUAGCUAGUUGGUGAGGUAACGGCCCACCAAGGCGACGAUUGGUAGCCGGACUGAGAGGUUGAACGGCCACAUUGGGACUGAGACACGGCCCAGACUCCUACGGGAGGCAGCAGUA
rnacentral:rRNA from 1 species